rnacentral:tRNA from 1 species
GGUCCCGUAGUGUAGUGGUUAACAUGCCUGCCUGUCACGCAGGAGAUCGCGGGUUCGAGUCCCGUCGGGACUGCCA